rnacentral:tRNA from 1 species
GGCCAGUUAGCUCAGUCAGUUAGAGUGCGGUGCUGAUAACGCCAAAGUUGUGGGUUCAAGCCCCAUUUGGUUC